rnacentral:rRNA from 1 species
GGACGAACGCUGGCGGCGUGCUUAACACAUGCAAGUCGAACGGUGAACCAGAGCUUGCUCUGGGGAUCAGUGGCGAACGGGUGAGUAACACGUGGGCAACCUGCCCCAGACUCUGGGAUAACUCCGGGAAACCGGAGCUAAUACCGGAUACGACUACUUCGGACAUCCGACGGUAGUGGAAAGUUUUUCGGUCUGGGAUGGGCCCGCGGCCUAUCAGCUAGUUGGUGGGGUAAUGGCCUACCAAGGCGACGACGGGUAGCCGGCCUGAGAGGGCGACCGGCCACACUGGAACUGAGACACGGUCCAGACUCCUACGGGAGGCAGCAGUGGGAAUAUUGCACAAUGGGCGAAAGCCUGAUGCAGCGACGCCGCGUGAGGGACGACGGCCUUCGGGUUGUAAACCUCUUUCAGCAGGGACGAAGCGAAAGUGACUGUACCUGCAGAAGAAGCACCGGCUAACUACGUG